rnacentral:rRNA from 1 species
AUUGAACGCUGGCGGCAUGCUUUACACAUGCAAGUCGAACGGCAGCGCGGGGGCAACCCUGGCGGCGAGUGGCGAACGGGUGAGUAAUGCAUCGGAACGUAUCCUGUAAUGGGGGAUAACGUAGCGAAAGUUACGCUAAUACCGCAUACGCUCGAGAGAGGAAAGUGGGGGAUCGCAAGACCUCACGUUAUAGGAGCGGCCGAUGUCCGAUUAGCUAGUUGGUGGGGUAAAGGCCUACCAAGGCGACGAUCGGUAACUGGUCUGAGAGGAUGAUCAGCCACACUGGGA